rnacentral:rRNA from 1 species
UUGGCCUAACACAUGCAAGUCUAGGGGGUAGCAAUACCACCGGCGGACGGGUGCGUAACGCGUGGGAAUAUACCUAUCGGUACGGAACAACUGCGGGAAACUGCAGCUAAUACCGUAUGCGUCCUAACGGAGAAAGAUUUAUCGCCGAUAGAUUAGCCCGCGUUCGAUUAGCUAGUUGGUGGGGUAAUGGCCCACCAAGGCGACGAUCGAUAGCUGUUCUGAGAGGAAGAUCAGCCACACUGGGACUGAGACACGGCCCAGACUCCUACGGGAGGCAGCAGUUGGGAAUCUUGGACAAUGGGGGAAACCCUGAUCCAGCCAUGCCGCGUGAGUGAUGAAGGCCUUCGGGUUGUAAAACUCUUUCGACGGGGACGAUAAUGACGGUACCCGUAGAAGAAGCUCCGGCUAACUUCGUGCCAGCAGCCGCGGUAAUACGAAGGGGGCUAGCGUUGUUCGGAAUUACUGGGCGUAAAGCGCGCGCAGGCGGCUAUCCAAGUCAGUGGUGAAAGCCUGGAGCUCAACUCCAGAACUGCCAUUGAAAC